ensembl:lncRNA
AAUUAAAGCACAGAAAAAUAAAUUUAUGAGUAUAUUUGCAGCAGAAAAUUCUUUUACACAAAUAAAUAAGCUUAUAUGUUUUCAAUUAACUUCUAAAAUUAACAUAAAUUUUAAUUUGUGUUUAAUCUUUGAGUCUUGUAAAUUAUGUUCAGAAAGCCUCAGGAUCCUGGAUACAGCAUUGUAAAGACAAUAAAGUACGAGUCUUCCUUGAGAAGUAUAGAUAUGAUAUGUAGAGAUGCCAUGCACAAAUUUGAACAGUGAGGGCGAGAAGCUACAACUACAGCAGCUCUGUGCUGGUUGCAGGCCUGGAGUUUAGGACUGGCCCUAUUUGGUAUCGACAAGUGGUUCUGGGGGUCUUGCUACUCCACUCACUCCAGCAGAGGCCAGAAGCUGGAAAGAACCCAGAUGCCCUUCACCAGAGGAAUGGAUACAGAAAAUGUG